GACAGAGGGGGCAAGCGUUGCUCGGAAUUACUGGGCGUAAAGGGCGCGUAGGCGGGAUGGCAAGUCGGUCGUGAAAUCCCUCGGCUCAACUGAGGAGCGUCGAUCGAAACUGCCGUUCUUGAGGGUUGCAGAGGAGACUGGAAUUCCCGGUGUAGCGGUGAAAUGUGUAGAGAUCGGGAGGAACACCGGUGGCGAAGGCGGGUCUCUGGGCAAUUCCUGACGCUGAGGCGCGAAAGCGUGGGGAGCAAACGGG
rnacentral:rRNA from 1 species